rnacentral:rRNA from 1 species
UACGUAGGGUGCGAGCGUUGUCCGGAAUUAUUGGGCGUAAAGAGCUUGUAGGCGGUUUGUCGCGUCUGCUGUGAAAAUCCGGGGCUCAACCCCGGACUUGCAGUGGGUACGGGCAGACUAGAGUGUGGUAGGGGAGACUGGAAUUCCUGGUGUAGCGGUGAAAUGCGCAGAUAUCAGGAGGAACACCUAUAGCGAAGGCAGCUUGCUGGGACGUUACUGACGCUAAGGCGCGAAAGCGUGGGGAGCGAACAGG